AUGCACGCUGGCGGCGUGCCUAAUACAUGCCAGUCGAGCGAACAGACGAGGAGCUUGCUCCUCUGACGUUAGCGGCGGACGGGUGAGUAACACGUGGAUAACCUACCUAUAAGACUGGGAUAACUUCGGGAAACCGGAGCUAAUACCGGAUAAUAUAUUGAACCGCAUGGUUCAAUAGUGAAAGACGGUUUUGCUGUCACUUAUAGAUGGAUCCGCGCCGCAUUAGCUAGUUGGUAAGGUAACGGCUUACCAAGGCAACGAUGCGUAGCCGACCUGAGAGGGUGAUCGGCCACACUGGAACUGAGACACGGUCCAGAUUCCUACGGGAGGCAGCAGUAGGGAAUCUUCCGCAAUGGGCGAAAGCCUGACGGAGCAACGCCGCGUGAGUGAUGAAGGUCUUCGGAUCGUAAAACUCUGUUAUUAGGGAAGAACAAAUGUGUAAGUAACUAUGCACGUCUUGACGGUACCUAAUCAGAAAGCCACGGCUAACUACGUG
rnacentral:rRNA from 1 species